rnacentral:rRNA from 1 species
GACGAACGCUGGCGGCGUGCCUAAUACAUGCAAGUAGAACGCACAGUUUAUACCGUAGCUUGCUACACCAUAGACUGUGAGUUGCGAACGGGUGAGUAACGCGUAGGUAACCUGCCUGGUAGCGGGGGAUAACUAUUGGAAACGAUAGCUAAUACCGCAUAAUAUUAAUUAUUGCAUGAUAAUUAAUUGAAAGGUGCAAUUGCACCACUACCAGAUGGACCUGCGUUGUAUUAGCUAGUAGGUGAGGUAACGGCUCACCUAGGCGACGAUACAUAGCCGACCUGAGAGGGUGAUCGGCCACACUGGGACUGAGACACGGCCCAGACACCUACGGGAGGCAGCAGUAGGGAAUCUUCGGCAAUGGACGAAAGUCUGACCGAGCAACGCCGCGUGAGUGAAGAAGGGUUUCGGAUCGUAAAGCUCUGUUGUAAGAGAAGAACGGGUGUGAGAGUGGAAAGUUCACACUGUGACGGUAUCUUACCAGAAAGGGACGGCUAACUACGUG